AGCAGUAGCCGCGGUAAUACGGAGGAUCCAAGCGUUAUCCGGAAUCAUUGGGUUUAAAGGGUCCGUAGGCGGUCUUGUAAGUCAGUGGUGAAAGCCCAUCGCUCAACGGUGGAACGGCCAUUGAUACUGCAGGACUUGAAUUAUUGGGAAGUAACUAGAAUAUGUAGUGUAGCGGUGAAAUGCUUAGAGAUUACAUGGAAUACCAAUUGCGAAGGCAGGUUACUACCAAUUGAUUGACGCUGAUGGACGAAAGCGUGGGUAGCGAACAGGAUUAGAGACCCCCGUAGUCCCUGUCUCUUAUAC
rnacentral:rRNA from 1 species